GCGGUAGGCUUAACACAUGCAAGUCGUGCGAGAAAGUAUCUUCGGAUAUGAGUAGAGCGGCGGACGGGUGAGUAACGCGUAGGAAUCUACCUAGUAGAAGGGGAUAGCCCGGGGAAACUCGGAUUAAUACCGUAUACCUCCUUCGGGAGAAAGAAGGCCUCUCUUUGAAGCUUUCGCUAUUAGAUGAGCCUGCGUAAGAUUAGCUUGUUGGUGAGGUAAAGGCUCACCAAGGCGACGAUCUUUAGCGGGUCUGAGAGGACGAUCCGCCACAUUGGGACUGAGACACGGCCCAGACUCCUACGGGAGGCAGCAGUGGGGAAUAUUGGACAAUGGGCGCAAGCCUGAUCCAGCCAUACCGCGUGUGUGAAGAAGGCCCUAGGGUUGUAAAGCACUUUAAGUUGGGAAGAAAAGUUAUUGGUUAAUAUCCAAUAACCGUGACAUUACCAUCAGAAUAAGGACCGGCUAAUUCCGU
rnacentral:rRNA from 1 species